UACGAAGGGGGCUAGCGUUGCUCGGAAUCACUGGGCGUAAAGGGCUCGUAGGCGGCCAACUAAGUCGGAUGUGAAAUCCCCAGGCUUAACCUGGGAACUGCAUCCCAUACGGCGCGCCUGGAGCCUUGCAGAGGGCGGUGGAAUUGCCGGUGUAGUGGUGAAAUGCGUAGAGAUCGGCAGGAACACCCAGGGAGAAAUCAGCCGCCUGGGCAAGUGCUGACGCUGAGGUGCGAAAGCGUGGGGAGCGAACCGG
rnacentral:rRNA from 1 species